GGGCUUGACAUCCCACGAACCUGGCUUAGUAGCUGAGGUGCCGAAAGGAGCGCAGAGACAGGUGCUGCAUGGCUGUCGUCAGCUCGUGUUGUGAGAUGUUGGGUUAAGUCCCGUAACGAGCGCAACCCUUGUCCUUAGUUGCCAUCAUUAAGUUGGGGACUCUAAGGGGACUGCCGGUGAGGAACCGGAGGAAGGCGGGGACGACGUCAAGUCAUCAUGGCCUUUAUGGGUAGGGCUACACACGUGCUACAAUGGGGCGUACAGAGGGUCGCAAAGCCGCGAGGUUGAGCUAAUCCCAUAAAACCGUCCUAAGUACGGAUUGCAGUCUGCAACUCGACUGUAUGAAGCUGGAAUCGCUAGUAAUCCCGGAUCAGCACGCCGGGGUGAAUACGUUCCCGGGCCUUGUACACACCGCCCGUCACAUCACGAAAGCCAGCUGUACUCGAAGUCGCUGAG
rnacentral:rRNA from 1 species